rnacentral:tmRNA from 1 species
GGGGGUGAAAGGAUUCGACGGGAGUGGAUGCGGUGGGAACCGCGUGCCGAGGUCCCCGAUAACCUCGUUAAACCAUUGGGAACAAAAUUAUCUGCAGACGAACCUUCGUAUGCAAUGGCUGCCUAAGGUAACUUAGCGCAACCCGUUUUUGAUCAGCCCCGCCUGCGGGAUGGUCAAAAACGUCGAUAAAGCAGGCUGGCCGGGCGUCGCGCCUCAGGGCGCCGGCGAGACUCAACUGAGGCUGGUUCCGGUUAAAUCCUGCCUGCUGGAGUUCUCCGGAACGAGACCAAAAAACAGGCUAUGCAUGUAGACGUUCCCGCUUAGGCACUUCCGGACGGGGGUUCGAUUCCCCCCACCUCCAUCA